CCUGGUGGCUCAGAUGGUAAAGAAUCUGCCUGCAAUGCAGGAGACCUGGGUUCCAUCCCUGUAUCAGGA
rnacentral:tRNA from 1 species